UCAGACAAAUUAAGUGACUCUCCCAAGAUCACAUAACAGUUGUGUGCUGAGUGGAAAACUGAGAUUUUUGAAUCAUCACACCAACAGAAAUGGAGAUAUCUACUAGGAUCCCGAGAGAAGGUGAGAGAGGUGAGCAUGGGAGUGAAAGAGAAAUUUUCCUGAGAGAAAUAGAAAAGGAACUAAUAAAGGAGAAACUUCAAGAAAUUUAUCUUCAAGCAGAAGAACAAGAGAUGUUGCCGGAAGAGAUAUUAAGUAGUAUACAGGGGACUUUUUGAAGGCAAACGAAGAUCCUGAAACUUGUGUUCUAGAAGACUUGCAGAAGCUAGAAGCUGUGAAGGAGCAGUUGUAUCCACAAGAGCCUUUAAAGGAUUUGGGGAAAGUGAUGUCUGAAGAAGAGGAAAAUAAAGGUGGUCAUUCAUGAAAAUGAAACGUGUUGUCUGAAGAUGAACUUAAUUACAAUCUCAGAAUAUACCGGCACUUCUUUCAAAAGGGGAAAAUCUUUGGCAAUAAGCCAUAUCAAAAGUUUGGCACACUGGAUAAGGAUUUUCUGUGGUGUAUUUUUUUUCUCUUUGUGAAUAUAAGGGGUGGUGGUGAACAGCUAACCAGAACACCCCCAUGGCAUCCGAAGAUGAUAAAAUCAGCAGGAGAUAAAAUUGGACAUUUCAAAGGUGG